GUGUAGUUCAAUAGUAGAGUAUGUACCCAGAAUGCACAUGGCCCUGGGUUCAAUUCCCAGCAC
rnacentral:tRNA from 1 species